UACGUAGGGGGCAAGCGUUGUCCGGAUUCAUUGGGCGUAAAGAGCGUGUAGGCGGCCAGGUAGGUCGGUUGUGAAAACUGGAGGCUCAACCUUCAGACGUCGACCGAAACCAUCUGGCUAGAGUCCGGGAGAGGAGAGUGGAAUUCCUGGUGUAGCGGUGAAAUGCGCAGAUAUCAGGAAGAACACCCGUGGCGAAAGCGGCCAACUGGACGAAUACUGACGCUGAGACACGAAAGCGUGGGGAGCAAACAGG
rnacentral:rRNA from 1 species